UAGAAGUCCUCAUAUGGUAGGACCAGUGAUUGUAGUGUGUGUUACACUGUCCUCAUAUUGUUUUAAGCUGUGAAGGACAGGAGUGUGUUUCAGUUGCCUUCCUCAUGUGGUAGGACCAACAACUCUAGUGUGUGUUACACUGUCCUCAUAUCGUUGGGUAGCAGAACCGUACAGUGUUAAGUUUCUAUAGAAUCUGGUAUAAGGAAGUCAGAUCCUUCUGUAAUAAUAUUCACUGAUACAAAUAUGAUCUGUAGUUAAUUAAAUAGUCGGGAUUUAUACUAGAGAAUGUUUCUGACGUUAUAUUGUUGUCUUUUGUUGCAGACACCAAGUGCCGAGGUCCUGUCUCAACCUCCUUCAGACCAAUUGGCUCAAGGACCAAGUAUUCCGGGGGUUCCAAGCCACACGCUUUACUCAGCUGCCCUGGACAACAUGAAGGGCACCUCUGCCUCAAUCACCCUGGACAACAAAAACAUUAGCAACACUUCACCAAGAAGGGCUGGGACGGUGAGAAGCAAGUGGACAAAUGAUGAAGUGAAGGUUGCUGAGCGGCACGUUUCACUUCAUAAAAAGCUGCAAAGUACCAGGUAAAAAGGAAUGUGACUGCUGCCUCCAAGCAGAGCCGGCAGCUCUGAAAGGCAGAGACUGGGUUGUCAUAAGGUACUACAGCCACAACAGGAUCAUAGCAUUAAAAGAAAGAUGCAAGAAAAAAAGAAGCAAGCAAGAGAGAUACUUUGUUACUUCCACAGUUAUGUCAGUAUUGCAGUUUUCUGUAUUGCAUUGUUCUUACUCAUAAAUCUGUGGUUUAUGCUGGGUGCUUUUUGCAAUUAAAUGAUAAAAAAGGCA